rnacentral:rRNA from 1 species
UACGGAGGGGACUAGCGUUGUUCGGAAUUACUGGGCGUAAAGCGCACGUAGGCGGAUUUGUAAGUCAGGGGUGAAAUCCCGGGGCUCAACCCCGGAACUGCCUUUGAUACUGCGAAUCUCGAGUCCGGAAGAGGUGAGUGGAAUUCCUAGUGUAGAGGUGAAAUUCGUAGAUAUUAGGAAGAACACCAGUGGCGAAGGCGGCCAUCUGGGACAACACUGACGCUGAGGCACGAAAGCGUGGGGAGCAAACAGG